AUUUUAUAGGCCAGCCAAGGAAGUAACUGAAUAUGUUUGCUUGGAGAAAGAAUUGAAGGCUCAGAGAAGAUGUCCAACUCUGGAAGUGAAGAAGAAAAUGUACUUCUGUUCUCCGUGGAGAGAAACAGAUGAGUACUCCAUUGGAGAUGUGCUAUUAGUCUCUUCCCAAGGAAACUAGAAGAGAGUUUCAUGGGAUUAAACUUUCCUGAAUUGCUGGAGUCACACAACAGCUUGUAUCUAUAAUGGAAAUACUAAACAGUUUUGGAAAAUCUGAUGCUCAGCUUCCUGACCUUUGGCUUCAGAUAUAUUUGGACUCUGCUUGUCAUACUGUUGUAGUUUCCUAUUCAAACUAUGAUUUGAGUGACUCCCCUCCCCCAGCCCUAAUGAAGAUGUUUACCAGAGUCACAUCUGUCUGGUGUGACUUGCAGACUUUGUUUAGUGGAGGAAGGCCCAAGGCUGGCCUGCCAGAGGUGAGAUAAAUUGGGACUGAAAUCCCCAAGGAGAGCCUGAGGUGUGAAAGCUGUUCUGCUGUGACUAGCUCUCAUCAGUAAUGAUAACCCCUCAAUUUUGUGCCACCUAA